rnacentral:rRNA from 1 species
GACGAACGCUGGCGGCGUGCUUAACACAUGCAAGUCGAACGGAAAGGCCCUGCUUUUGUGGGGUGCUCGAGUGGCGAACGGGUGAGUAACACGUGAGUAACCUGCCCUUGACUUUGGGAUAACUUCAGGAAACUGGGGCUAAUACCGGAUAGGAGCUCCUGCUGCAUGGUGGGGGUUGGAAAGUUUCGGCGGUUGGGGAUGGACUCGCGGCUUAUCAGCUUGUUGGUGGGGUAGUGGCUUACCAAGGCUUUGACGGGUAGCCGGCCUGAGAGGGUGACCGGCCACAUUGGGACUGAGAUACGGCCCAGACUCCUACGGGAGGCAGCAGUAGGGAAUAUUGCACAAUGGGCGGAAGCCUGAUGCAGCAACGCCGCAUGCGGGAUGACGGCCUUCGGGUUGUAAACCGCUUUCGCCUGUGACGAAGCGUGAGUGACGGUAAUGGGUAAAGAAGCACCGGCUAACUACGUG